GAUGAACGCUGGCGGCGUGCCUAAUACAUGCAAGUCGAGCGAACAGACGAGGAGCUUGCUCCUCUGACGUUAGCGGCGGACGGGUGAGUAACACGUGGAUAACCUACCUAUAAGACUGCGAUAACUUCGGGAAACCGGAGCUAAUACCGGAUAAUCUAUUGAACCGCAUGGUUCAAUAGUGAAAGACGGUUUUGCUGUCACUUAUCGAUGGAUCCGCGCCGCAUUAGCUAGUUGGUAAGGUAACGGCUUACCAAGGCAACGAUGCGUAGCCGACCUGAGAGGGUGAUCGGCCACACUGGAGCUGAGACACGGUCCAGACUCCUACGGGAGGCAGCAGUAGGGAAUCUUCCGCAAUGGGCGAAAGCCUGACGGAGCAACGCCGCGUGAGUGAUGAAGGUCUUCGGAUCGUAAAACUCUGUUAUUAGGGAAGAACAAAUGUGUAAGUAACUAUGCACGCCUUGACGGUACCUAAUCAGAAAGCCACGGCUAACUACGUG
rnacentral:rRNA from 1 species